GGGAGCUUGGAUGUGGAAGCUCUUUGGAAACCAAGAAACACUCUGCAAAUGAAAAGGGUGGAAGAGUAAACUGUUCCCGUUUCUCCAAAUUGACAGGAAGCAGAAGUUCUCCUUAGCUGAUUUUUCUUCUUGCCUUAUACUGGGUUCUUUAACACCAGAACAAAAAUAAAUAAAUAAAAGAAUCUUCCAGAAAUUCAUGAAGAGACUUCAGGUCAGGAAAGCCUGAACUUUCUCAUCUAACACCUGUUCAAGUCGGAGGAUGCUGAUUAAUUCAUGAUGGAAAGGUAUCAAUUUCACAGCCCAGACUUCUACAUUCUUGAAAUGCUGUUCUCAUGGGAGACAUUAAAUAAGCUUUGAAAUAACUCUCUUUUUGGACUAAAAGGCCCUCAGCAUUCCUGGCAAUUUCUACACUCCUGAAGCUUCAUCUGGAGACGUCUGUGGAUUCUAUAACUCAAAGACCCAGGCUGAUGGCUGGUGGAAUAGCUACCAUCUCAAACAUGGCGUGAUGCUGCAUCAGAGGGAAAAAUAAGCUCUUGCACUGGCAAUGAAAUGUCUACCCUGUAGUGACUUGUGCUUACUUCCACUCACAAAUGAUUGCCCAGAGCUACUUACCUGGCUCC
rnacentral:antisense_RNA from 1 species